UAUAUUAAAACUUUAAAAUUAAAGUAGUAGUAGUAUAUUGUUUAUUGCAGUUGUAGAUUUUAUGGAUAUCAAUAUCAUAACAUAAAAUUCUGAAAAUGCCACCAUUGCCCUAAUACAUCGGCUCCCACAGUCUCACUCUUCUUCAUCGCUGCCUUGAAUCUGUCCGGCCUCCCCCAUACGCCGUCAACUAUCUCGUCUAGCACCGCCGCGGCCCUCCUCCGCAUCUGAACGGGAGGUGCAGUACUGCAGUAGGUAUCAGUUGAGAGCUGGGGGAGAUCUCGUGGAGUUUUCCAACAUAGACGGGCUAGAGAAAGAAAGAGAUGAAGCAUGAUCUGUUGUGUUUUGUUUCCAGAAAUCUUAUGGAAACAAGAUGCACAUCGAUUUCUGUUCAAGAACACACAUAUGUGUGCAAUCUGUAAAUAGGACGGUGGUGGUGAAUUGGUGAUGGAGCCUUGAUGUCUCAAUGAAUAGUUGUGAGUUUGAAUGUAAAAGAUGAUCACACUGGGUAGGGUUAUUUAGAAUUUUAGAAUUACUAAAUGUAUAAUAAAUAUUUAAAAUUAUAAAUUAAAUUAUAAAGUUGCACGUCUAGGUAAAAAA